rnacentral:rRNA from 1 species
CAGCCGCCGCGGUAACACGGAGGGGGCUAGCGUUGUUCGGAAUUACUGGGCGUAAAGCGCACGUAGGCGGAUCGAUCAGUCAGGGGUGAAAUCCCAGGGCUCAACCCUGGAACUGCCUUUGAUACUGUCGAUCUGGAGUAUGGAAGAGGUGAGUGGAAUUCCGAGUGUAGAGGUGAAAUUCGUAGAUAUUCGGAGGAACACCAGUGGCGAAGGCGGCUCACUGGUCCAUUACUGACGCUGAGGUGCGAAAGCGUGGGGAGCAAACAGGAUUAGAUACCCGCGUAGUCCCUGUCUCUUAUAA